rnacentral:misc_RNA from 1 species
GAAAUGCGAUAAGUAAUGUGAAUUGCAGAAUUCAGUGAAUCAUCGAAUCUUUGAACGCACAUUGCGCCCGCCAGUAUUCUGGCGGGCAUGCCUGUUCGAGCGUCAUUUCAACCAUCAAGCCCCCGGCUUGUGUUGGGGACCUGCGGCUGCCCGCAGGACCUGAAAAACAGUGGCGGGCUCGCUGUCACACCGAGCGUAGUAGCAUACAUUCUCGCUCAGGGCGUGCUGCGGGUUCCGGCCGUUAAACGACCUUCAUAACCCAAGGUUGACCUCGGAUCAGGUAGGAAGACCCGCUGAACUUAAGC